rnacentral:rRNA from 1 species
UGGGGAAUUUUGGACAAUGGGCGCAAGCCUGAUCCAGCCAUGCCGCGUGCGGGAAGAAGGCCUUCGGGUUGUAAACCGCUUUUGUCGGGGAAGAAAUCUCUCGGGCUAAUACCUCGGGGGGAUGACGGUACCCGAAGAAUAAGCACCGGCUAACUACGUGCCAGCAGCCGCGGUAAUACGUAGGGUGCGAGCGUUAAUCGGAAUUACUGGGCGUAAAGCGUGCGCAGGCGGUCGUGCAAGACAGAUGUGAAAUCCCCGGGCUCAACCUGGGAACUGCAUUUGUGACUGCACGGCUGGAGUACGGCAGAGGGGGAUGGAAUUCCGCGUGUAGCAGUGAAAUGCGUAGAUAUGCGGAGGAACACCGAUGGCGAAGGCAGUCCCCUGAGCCUGUACUGACGCUCAUGCACGAAAGCGUGGGGAGCAAACA